rnacentral:rRNA from 1 species
GUUUGAUCAUGGCUCAGGACGAACGCUGGCGGCGUGCCUAAUACAUGCAAGUCGAGCGGACUAAUGGGAGCUUGCUCCCGUUAGUUAGCGGCGGACGGGUGAGUAACACGUGGGCAACCUACCUGUAAGACUGGGAUAACUUCGGGAAACCGGAGCUAAUACCGGAUGACAUAAAGGAACUCCUGUUCCUUUAUUGAAAGAUGGCUUUUAGCUAUCACUUACAGAUGGGCCCGCGGCGCAUUAGCUAGUUGGUGAGGUAACGGCUCACCAAGGCGACGAUGCGUAGCCGACCUGAGAGGGUGAUCGGCCACACUGGGACUGAGACACGGCCCAGACUCCUACGGGAGGCAGCAGUAGGGAAUCUUCCGCAAUGGACGAAAGUCUGACGGAGCAACGCCGCGUGAGCGAUGAAGGCCUUCGGGUCGUAAAGCUCUGUUGUUAGGGAAGAAUAAGUGCUAGUUGAAUAAGCUGGCACCUUGACGGUACCUAACCAGAAAGCCACGGCUAACUACGUGCCAGCAGCCGCGGUAAUACGUAGGUGGCAAGCGUUGUCCGGAAUUACUGGGCGU